rnacentral:misc_RNA from 1 species
GAUGAAGAACGUAGCGAAAUGCGAUAAGUAAUGUGAAUUGCAGAAUUCAGUGAAUCAUCGAAUCUUUGAACGCACAUUGCGCCCCUUGGUAUUCCGAGGGGCAUGCCUGUUAGAGCGUCAUUAUAACCCUCAAGCUCAGCUUGGUGUUGGGGCCUGCUGCAGUGGCAGCCCUUAAAAUCAGUGGCGGCGCCAUCUGGCUCUAAGCGUAGUAAUUCUUCUCGCUAUGGAGUCCUGGUGGAUGCUUGCCAUCAACCCCCAAUUUUUCUAUGGUUGACCUCGGAUCAGGUAGGGAUACCCGCUGAACUUAAGCAUAUCAAUAAGCGGAGGA